rnacentral:rRNA from 1 species
AAUGAACGCUGGCGGCAGGCCUAACACAUGCAAGUCGAACGAGAGGAGGACGGGGGAGUAAUGUCUGGAAAACUGCCUGACGGAGGGGGAUAACUGCUGGAACAGGUAGCUAAUACUGCCUAACAGGAGAUGGGCCCAGAUGGGUUUAUCUAGGUGGUGGGGUAACGGCUCACCAAGGCGACGAUCCCUAGCUGGGCUGAGAGGAUGACCAGCCACACUGGAUCUGAGACACGGCCCAGACUCCUCCGGUACGCAGCAGUGGAGAAUAUUACACAAUGGACGCAAGCCUGACGCAGCCAUGCCGCGUGUAUGAAGAAGGCCUUCGGAUUGUAAACUUCUUUCACCUGGGAAUCGUUACCCGAUGAAGAAGCACCGGCUAACUCCGUGCCAGCCGCCGCGGUAAUUC